CUAUCUUGCAAGCUCAACUGAAUUCGCGACAGACAUCUGAAAUUAACUUCGUAAGGGAAAGGACGGCUCUUUUCUAAUUUAAUUACAGAUCAGACAAAUGAGACAAGCUCGUAUUUGACACUGGAUCAUUAUGCAGUCAGUAUUUGUGUUUUUAGCCUUUUCCUGCUUCUGUUUG